rnacentral:piRNA from 1 species
GCCAUUUCUGAGCAUAGUAAGAAGAGAAGC